rnacentral:rRNA from 1 species
UACGUAGGGGGCAAGCGUUGUCCGGAAUUAUUGGGCGUAAAGAGCUCGUAGGCGGUUUGUCACGUCUGCUGUGAAAUCCCGAGGCUCAACCUCGGGCCUGCAGUGGGUACGGGCAGACUGGAGUGCGGUAGGGGAGAAUGGAAUUCCUGGUGUAGCGGUGGAAUGCGCAGAUAUCAGGAGGAACACCGGUGGCGAAGGCGGUUCUCUGGGCAUGAUCUGACGCUGAGGAGCGAAAGUGUGGGAAGCGAACAGG